rnacentral:rRNA from 1 species
UACGUAGGGUGCGAGCGUUAAUCGGAAUUACUGGGCGUAAAGCGUGCGCAGGCUGUUCUCCAAGUCCGUUGUGAAAGCCCCGGGCUCAACCUGGGAAUGGCAGUGGAAACUAGGGGACUGGAAUCUGGCAGAGGGGGGUGGAAUGCCGGGUGUAGCAGUGAAAUGCGUAGAGAUGCGGCGGAACACCGAUGGCGAAGGCAGCCCCCUGGGCUGAGAUUGACGCUCAGGCACGAAAGCGUGGGGAGCAAACAGG